GCUGGGAAUGUGGCUCCGUGGUAGAGACCUGGCCUCGCAGGUGCGUGGCCUGGGUUCAAUCCCCAGCCCGGCA
rnacentral:tRNA from 1 species